GACGAACGCUGGCGGCGUGCUUAACACAUGCAAGUCGAACGGAAAGGCCCUGCUUUUGCGGGGUGCUCGAGUGGCGAACGGGUGAGUAACACGUGAGUAACCUGCCCUUGACUUUGGGAUAACUUCAGGAAACUGGGGCUAAUACCGGAUAGGAGCUCCUGCAGCAUGGUGGGGGUUGGAGAGUUUCGGCGGUUGGGGAUGGACUCGCGGCUUAUCAGCUUGUUUGUGGGGUAGUGGCUUACCAAGGCUUUGACGGGUAGCCGGCCUGGGAGGGUGACCGGCGACAUUGGGACUGAGAUACGGCGCAGACUCCUACGGGAGGCAGCAGUGGGGAAUAUUGCACAAUGGGCGGAAGCCUGAUGCAGCAACGCCGCGUGCGGGAUGACGGCCUUCGGGUUGUAAACCGCUUUCGCCUGUGACGAAGCGUGAGUGACGGUAAUGGGUAAGGAAGCACCGGCUAACUACGUG
rnacentral:rRNA from 1 species